rnacentral:rRNA from 1 species
CAGUCGCCGCGGUAAGACGGAGGAUGCAAGCGUUAUCCGGAAUGAUUGGGCGUAAAGCGUCUGUAGGUGGUUUAUUAAGUCUACUGUUAAAGAUCAGGGCUUAACCCUGAGUCGGCAGUAGAAACUAAUGAGCUUGAGUACGGUAGGGGCAGAGGGAAUUCCCGGUGUAGCGGUGAAAUGCGUAGAGAUCGGGAAGAACACCAAUGGCGAAAGCACUCUGCUGGGCCGAAACUGACACUCAGAGACGAAAGCUAGGGGAGCGAAUGGGAUUAGAUACCCCUGUAGUACCUGUCUCUUAUAC